AACGAACGCUGGCGGCAUGCCUAACACAUGCAAGUCGAACGAGACCUUCGGGUCUAGUGGCGCACGGGUACGUAACGCGUGGGAACCUGCCCUUAGGUUCGGAAUAACUCCCCGAAAGGGGUGCUAAUACCGGAUAAUGUCUUCGGACCAAAGAUUUAUCGCCUUUGGAUGGGCCCGCGUUGGAUUAGCUAGUUGGUAGGGUAAAAGCCUACCAAGGCGACGAUCCAUAGCUGGUCUGAGAGGAUGAUCAGCCACACUGGGACUGAGACACGGCCCAGACUCCUACGGGAGGCAGCAGUGGGGAAUAUUGGACAAUGGGCGAAAGCGUGAUCCAGCAAUGCCGCGUGAGUGAUGAAGGCCUUAGGGUUGUAAAGCUCUUUUACCCGGGAUGAUAAUGACAGUACCGGGAGAAUAAGCACCGGCUAACUCCGUG
rnacentral:rRNA from 1 species